rnacentral:rRNA from 1 species
GAGGGUUGACGGCCUUCGGGUUGUAAACCUCUUUCAAUAGGGACGAAGCGCAAGUGACGGUACCUAUAGAAGAAGGACCGGCCAACUACGUGCCAGCAGCCGCGGUAAUACGUAGGGUCCGAGCGUUGUCCGGAAUUACUGGGCGUAAAGAGCUCGUAGGUGGUUUGUCGCGUUGUUCGUGAAAACUCACAGCUUAACUGUGGGCGUGCGGGCGAUACGGGCAGACUAGAGUACUGCAGGGGAGACUGGAAUUCCUGGUGUAGCGGUGGAAUGCGCAGAUAUCAGGAGGAACACCGGUGGCGAAGGCGGGUCUCUGGGCAGUAACUGACGCUGAGGAGCGAAAGCGUGGGGAGCGAACAGGAUUAGAUACCCUGGUAGUCCACGCCGUAAACGGUGGGUACUAGGUGUGGGUUUCCUUCCUUGGGAUCCGUGCCGUAGCUAACGCAUUAAGUACCCCGCCUGGGGAGUACGGCCGCAAGGCUAAAACUCAAAGAAAUUGACGGGGGCCCGCACAAGCGGCGGAGCAUGUGGAUUAAUUCGAUGCAACGCGAAGAACCUUACCUGGGUUUGACAUGCACAGGACGCCAGUAGAGAUAUUGGUUCCC